UACGUAGGGGGCUAGCGUUGUCCGGAAUCAUUGGGCGUAAAGCGCGUGUAGGCGGUCCGGUAAGUCCGCUGUGAAAGUCGGGGGCUCAACCCUCGAAUGCCGGUGGAUACUGUCGGGCUAGAGUGCGGAAGAGGCGAGUGGAAUUCCUGGUGUAGCGGUGAAAUGCGCAGAUAUCAGGAGGAACACCGAUGGCGAAGGCAGCUCGCUGGGACGGUACUGACGCUGAGGAGCGAAAGCGUGGGGAGCGAACAGG
rnacentral:rRNA from 1 species